UACAUGUGUUAUCUCAGCUUGUCAACACCAUCUAGCAAUCUUUGGUGCCUCUGUUAGUAUCUAGUGCUCUGCUUAGUGCCUCUAGAUAGCAAAUGCAACACUGUCUAGUGCCUCUAUUGGCAGCAUCCAAAACACAAGGCCUCUACCCUCGCACUCUACACCACACACAACAUUGCUCCUUGGCAUUGCCUUCUUUGGCAAUGCCUCUCUAUCUCAGCACUCAAUGCCUUUGCCUCAAACUAG
rnacentral:lncRNA from 1 species